CUCAGUGAGCGCAAGUUGCCGAGUGGCACGGCCGUGGUUUCCUCUCCCUGACUCUGAGUUCGCUGGGCUGGGCCUCUGGAAUGCUUGUUCUGGGUGGCGCUGCCCGGGGCCUCUGUGGCACACGCACUACGUGCAUCACCUAGCGGGAAUGUCACUGGAGAACACAGACGCUCGUCCGCGUGGCACGAUGGGAAGGCAGACAUGUCAGUUCUGUAACCAUGGAGAGCUCCGAAGAGACCAAGCACCAAUGGAGGAAAGGCAGAUUGAGUAACGUGACCUCAAGAGAGCCUUUGUUCGAUCUUUGGCACAUUGUUCCCAAGGCAGCAAUGGUCCGUUUGGGCGAGACAUAUGACACCCUGAGGGAAGCUGGACUUGGAAGAAGCAGAAGGACCAGCCCGUGCAGGAGGAACAGAGCGAGCGUGUGUUCUUUCCCUGGUCAUGGACACUCCUGCACCCCGGGGUGCUGCUACCAAACAAAGGUCCUUUGGAAGAGUCGGAGCAACCCCUGGCUGGUCUUGUUGACGAGCAGGCUCCUUUCUCUGGGAGAAUCAGGCUCCUGUUCAGCGCCAGACCGCGGUGAGGGUACAAGGAGUCAGGUAAGUACCAAGAAGAGGACAUUGCCGAGAGCCAGAGAAGCGUGGGGACGGAUGUCAGCAUGCCGGGGUCUCAUUCAUGCUGGAGAGCAACUGUCCCACAGAGGAGAAACAGAAGCCCAGUGGGCAGGGCUUGUAAGGGCUCCAAACUGGCAAACACUGUGUUGCCUACUACUCAGACACAAGCCCAUCAGAACUUCAUUAUUCUUGAUCUGCUAAAGGGUCUCAUCCGAUUCAGCUCUGGAGUGAAUUCCUUCCAUGCUCUCCCUUCUCCGUAUUCGAAACAGAGAGACUGCUUCUAGGGUUUAGAUGAGAAACCCUCUCGCUGACUCAACAGGCGGGGUGGCCAACUGCUCGUGUACUCACAGGACACGGCUCAACUCAUGGCCAGGUGCUUAUGGAGCUGAGUGUGGGGGAGUUGUCAGUGCAGGUGACGAUAGCUUGGAGCAUCUCUUAUUUGACUUCCUGUCUGCUUCCCCACUGCCUGCUCUGGAGAGAGGCUAACGUUAAGAAUCCGAGGCAGACGGACUCCUUGCCCUCAAACUUUGUGUGGAUUCCAACGAGAUUGGCUCUUGUUUCCCCCAGGAUCCUUCCCAGAUGCCAAGAACCAGGUGUAGAUGGUUAAUUCGAGAACUCUAAUAGGAGUGAAAUAAGAGUUGGGGAAAGUAGCCAUCGGAGGAUCUAAGUGCCGACUUUGACACCGAAUGCCUUUGACUCAAGAACUCAGGGAUUCUGAGAAGAAAAUAGGUCACAGCCUUCCCAGGACGCAAGGGCGAAGCGUCUCUUAGUGGCUCUUGUCUCCACCGCAGGAACGGCUUCUCCCCUGCUGUGUUCUCCUGGGGAAGGACCGAGCAGGACAUCAGGAGAGGACCGGGGGCAAGGCGGAGGGCAGGGCUGCACCCCACCGGCAUGACACUGCUCACCAAAGCUCAGGCUGGGCCCCGGGGUGCAGGCAGCAGGGAGUGCGCACCCUGGAGAGCUUCACUGCCAGGUCCUCAGUUCCACUGGCUUCCUUCUGGCUCUGCUUUCAUUUGCCAGCACUAUUUGAGUGGGCCACACAAGUGGCGCCUGAGCCAGUGAAUGGUCAUUCAGUAACUUCCGCUCAUGAGAGUUCUGUGGAAGAAGCGAACGGGAGUAGCAACUCGGACUGACGUGGAGAAUCCAAUGCUGCCCACGGGGGUGACCGCAAAGUCACACGAGCUGACACUGUCAUGGGGGAGAACAUCAUAAGCAACUCCACUUAAAGAAGAUCUGAGUGCAAAAAUGACUGGGGCCAUAAUUUAAAUUCUCAAAGAAAGAUCACCGACAAAGUCAAUGAACAGGCGCCUUUACUACAGAGCAGUGGUAGAUAUUAGAACCGUUACGUAAAAAGGACUUUGAAUGUUAUCACUAAAACCUCCCAAAGGAUUACAUAAAGGAAAAUGUAAUAUUUCUAAAGAGAAAAAAUGAGAAAUGAUGGAAUAAAACAGAUAGAUAUGAACAGAAUUAUUUUGAAGAAAGAUGUCUCUUAAAUUUUUUGAUGUGGGGGGCCAGAAAGAUGGAUCAGUGAGUUGAGCACAAGCUUACAUGCAGAAGGCCUGGGUUUCAUCCCUGGCACCUUGUGGUUCCUUGAGAUCUGAACACGAGCCAGGAAUAGCCCCUCAGUGCUAUUGGGUUCCUUCAAAUAAGCCAAACA